ACGCCAACACGUCUUGGAACGCGUGACGUGUGCAUGUACACGUCGGCGAGCCGGAUGUGCAAGAUGGCGGCCCUGCCCAGGUACCUUUAGCAGGUUCCCUGCCGGUGGGAGAAAGAACUGGAUCUGUGUUUGGGCUCGGCGCGUUUCGGAGAAGGAGUGUAUUGAUCCUGGAGUUCUGUUGCUGGAGACAUAGAGAGUCAUCAGUUAAGGACAGAGAUGCAGCCCCCUCCGCAAGCAAGGCAUCCUGGCACGGGUGGACCUCCUCGCAUGGGACUUGGCAAUAAUGCCCACUGGCGCAAAAGGGGACCUAAUCCUGUACCAGUAGCUUCAGCUUCAGUGCAGCCAGUAACAGACCCUUUUGCCUUUGGCCGUAUUACCCCACAAAGUAUGGCACAGGGCAAUGUCCCGAUAGGAAACCCACUGAUGGCACCCAGUGUUUCCCCUUCUUUUUACCCUCAACCCGUUCCUGUACAUGCAUCGGCUGCUGUAGAUCAAGGGCAUGGGUCUCCUGCAUCACUACCAGGAUUUGUUCCACAACCUGCUGCUACGGGGGGGAUGUAUACAAAUGUGUCUGUCCCAUCACCAUCAAGUGCCCCCUUUCACAACUACCCAGCCGCCACCUCUAGUGCUCAGCCUGGACUCAGUAAUAUUCAGACUUUUCAGAAUACAGCAAGUGGACUUGAAAAUGCCUUUCUGCCAGUGCACAUCAGGGCUCAGUCAACACAAGGCAUUAAUUAUAACCCUCCAUCUUCAUCACCUUUGCAGCACUUUAUCCCUGCACCAUCUCAGCCAACUAAUGCUCCCUCUGGGUCCUUACAAAGUGUACCUCCUGCCUCAGCUCAGAACUUCCCCCUUCCUGUUCAACAGCCAUCCCAUAAUGCUCCUUAUUACUCCCCACCUUAUUUAGAAGUGUCUAAUCUGGUCCCUCAAGCCAACGAAACAGUGGCACAGCAGAGGUCAGCUCCUGGGCAUUACCCGCCUGCCACUGUCGCCAAUCCUACAUUUCAACACAGCACUUCACAACCCACCAUUUUAAAUCCGAUAGACUAUAUGCACCGCCACAAUCCUGACCAGAACUGGGUUAAGCAACCUCACAAGGAUCAGCAGCAUCCACCUUUUCCCAGUCCUAACCCCGUACAAUACCCAACUCAGCCACCUGAGCCCCAUCAGGAGGUGACUAAUGCAUCUGGUCAUGUCUCCACCAAUGUCGACUCUGGUACUAUAUCUAUGUUUUUUAAAGGGGAUGAAGAAGAAAAUGUAGAAAUAGUUUCUUCCGACCAGCAGAAUGCAUCUGUUAAAGUGGAUCAUGGUUCUUCUCAUUACCAGAACUCUGGACAUGAAGGUGUGCCUUCUCUCCUGCCACAGCCCACAGUCAGCAGCAUGUCGUCACUUACACCAAUCUCUGUGUCUCAGAAUGUUGGCAAUUUGACCCAACCACAUUCAGAUUGGAGGCAGGAUGUGUUUCCUGUUGGCGAUAAAAUUUCUAAACCCAAAGUUGGAAGUGAAUUGCCCUAUGACAAUGUUGAAAACAUAGAGUGUGUACAAAACCAAGAGGUUCCCCCCAACGAGCCCAAUCAUUUUAACCUUUAUCCUUCUAAUGUAAAUUCAGAUACGUACCGCUAUGGGUCCAUGCCUGGACUCUCCCUACAAAAGAAUGUUAGCAGCCAACCUGAAGCUGGUCCGAAUCUAGAGACGCCUGUCACAGUGGGUUGUCCUGUCAGAUCUGAUAGUGUUUCAUCAAAUUAUAGCAACCUGAGUCACAAAAGCCUGCCUGUGCCCACCCGGCCUCAAGAGCUAGCCGGGACAUUUAUUCAGAAGGAGAGAGGAAGGCUUGAAGGUGACUCCUCCCAUGGUUUCUUUAAGCAAAUUGAUUCUUUGCCCAUGGCAGGUGAUGCUGUAGGCCAGAAUAUGGGUCAGCACACGUUCCACAGCAAUUUAUCCCAGCCACCAACUCCAAGUCCUCCUAAACCUACUGGGAUCUUCAUGACGAGUGCAAAUAGUUCUUUCGAACCUGUUAGAUCGCACAGCAUUGGUUUGAAAGCGUCCGACGUAGACCAAUUGAAAAUGGGUGGAGACUUAAGAGAGGGGCAUAAUGUUCCACCAAGCGCCUCUCUCCCAGCAGCUUCCCCUGGUAACUUGGAACAACCACCAGAUAACCUGGAAUCCAUAUUCUUAGGUAAAAGAAAUUCUCACGGAAACAUUACCAGCAAUGGGAACUUGUUCCAUUCUGCUGGCGACCCGCCAUUGGAUAAUAUAUCCUUACUGCUUGAGAGACGUCCAUCGUCAAGAGCACACGGGUCUAACAAGAAAUGCGAAAGCCCGGCAACCACCCUGUGGGCUCAAGGUGAGCUUCCAAAUUUUGGCGGAAAUGUUUUGUUGGCUCCUGCAGCUCCUUCACUCUAUGUGCCCCCUAAACCCCAAACCGAAAUAAUUCAGCCACCUGAAGAUGGGUCUUAUGAUUCAUGCUCGGGUGGAACAGAUAUGGGGAAAUUUCAGACCUCUCUGGAAGAACAAAUUUCUUCGGAAAACCUUGAGAAUCCUCCAAAGAUCACUGAUGAGGAGCAACUUCCCUCGCAGGCAAGUUCAGGUUACGCCAGUUUGUUGUCUUCGCCGCCCACUGAGGUACUUCAGAAUCAGCCCUUGCUAAUUGCCCAACCAAAUAAAACCUAUAAUUUGUCACAGCCUAAUAAUUUUUCAUUGUCGUUACCAAAUAAGGUAAAAAAUAUUAAUUCGCUUAAGGAACUGGGAGCAGCUGACAAGCCGGGUCCUCAGAGUUUGCCUCCAGCUGUGGGGAAUUUUAACUCCAAUGACAAUACUGUGUUUUCCCUAAUUCAAGUCCCACCCGAGGCUUCUAAUCCACCUAAUUACAAAUCUGCUGCUACUAAUGAUAAAUUCUCUGAAUCUCUUCACAAUCUGAGUUCCAUUUUGCAGCGGCAAUCAUCAGCAAAUCAAAUGCCCCUCAAUUUAGCUGCGGAAAGUCAAAAGGCACUUAAGGGUGAAAACGCGACUGUCGAUCUUGCAAAUAAAAACCCGAUUCCAGCUGCCCUUCCGACGGGGCCACGUUUCCCUGCCAAUCCAAACGGCAAGCCAAAUUAUCAUGCAGAGAAGACCGUCGCUCUAGAUUUUACUGUCCCUCGUGCGCCAGUCAGUUCUGUUGCCAAUAACGUUGCUUCAAGUAACAGUCAGCCGGUUGCUGGAGGGCCGCUCUUUCCUAGGCCGUCUGUCAGCUAUCAGAAUGGUCAGGCAGGCCUAGAUGUUAACAAGCAGGGUUUUUAUCAGCAGGUCACUAAGGAUGGGCCCCCGCAGCAGCAGCCUGUUAUGGAUAUCCAACACCAGGGAGGAGUGGGCCUGGGGGAAUACAUGGUCCCAUCCUCUCAGCCACUGUCCUUGGUUCUGCCUGCACAAGCGCCUCCAGUGGGUAAAUCGGUUCCAUACCCUCCACAAGCUGAAAGCCAAGUUCAAACCUUGCAGAACCCUAGUGGAACUCCUUAUAACAGUGCGCCAGAACCUGCACCUAAAUACGGACCAACUGAACAGCCUUCAUAUCCAGCUCCGCCUGUUCCUUCCUCAUCAGCCACAGUGAACCACAUAGCAACAUAUCAAGAGCAGCCCAGGCCUCCUGCCUCCCAUACCCCUCAGCAAGCUGAUCCUUAUUACUACAGGUCUUACGGUGCCUACCCACAGCCUUACCAACCCUUGGACCCAAGGGCAGCACCUCUUUACUAUCCGGACCCUUAUGGCGCUUAUGACCCCACCUACAGGCAGUACAGUGGGUCUGCAUAUGUGAACCCUGGCAAUUACUCCUAUCAGGAGCCCGAACGUCCCAGUUCCAGAUCCAGCCACUGCUCCGAUCGCCCCUCCUCAAGGCAGGGCUAUAGCAGUAAAGGAGACUGGAAUGCACACAGUGGUUACUACUCAGGGUAUUAUCAGAGUCAGUAUGAUUAUGCAGACCCCAGCCGCUGGGACCGAUAUCCUGGAGCCUAUGACCCUGGCUAUAGAGACCCCAGCAGUAAUUACUGGAAUUAUAUGUACAACAGCCGUGAUGAUGUGUACCAAAGGAACGUGCCUACUGCUUAUACCACCAGAUAUGACGUUUAUGAAGACCGCUGGCAAUAUGACCCACGUUAUGUGGGAGGCUUUGAUGAAGAGCCACAGAGAGACCUCACGAAGGACGACUUUGACCGACGUAGUGUUCACAGUGAGCAUUCGGUCGAUAGCAUGCACAGCGGCCGGAGUGCACACAGUCGGAGAAGCAGUUUCAGCUCCCAUUCACAACAUAGCCAGAUCUACAAAAGCCAGCCAGACCUGUCUGCCAACGCGUAUGAACCCCAAAUACAGAAUCCUCCUCUCAAUGAGUAUUCGUAUGGCGUGUACCCCAAUGACUACGGCACCCAGCAGGCGCUUGAUGAUUACUCUUACGGGUAUCCCAAGGGCACAGAGUGGCAACCUGUAGAACAAGUGCCUUCAAGGCCGUUGACUCCAGAGAAGUUUGGGAGCCCACACAUCUGUGCCAGGUUUGGUUCUGGGGGUCAGUUAAUAAAGGUGCUGCCUAACCUUCCUUCAGACGGACAGCCGGCCUUAGUGGAAAUCCACAACAUGGAGGUCAUUAUGCAGAACAGCGCAGAGCAGGAACAGCUGAGAAGUUUCCCUGGACCUUUAGUGAAGGAUGAAACUCAUAAAGUUGACGUCAUCAGUUUUGCCCAGAAGAAAUUCAAGGAGUGUUCUCAGAAUGAGAGCCUGUUAGACCAAGAGUCUGCUUGCCUGCUCUGGGACUUCAUUGUGCUUCUGUGCCGGCAAAAUGGGACUGUUGUUGGAACAGAUAUCGCUGAGCUGCUUUUGAGAGAUCACAAGACAGUGUGGCUUCCUGCAAAGUCUCCCAACGAAGCCAACCUGAUCGAUUUCAGCAAUGAGCCGCUCGAGCAGCAGGAGGAAGAGUCAGGGGCUUCUCAGUUGUCCUUCCUCACGGAUUCUUUGCAAAGCACCGGGGAAGCUCUAGAGAAGGAGACUGAGCGGUUCAGAGAGCUUCUACUUUUUGGGCGUAAAAAGGAUGCCUUAGAAUCUGCUAUGAAAAAUGGACUGUGGGGCCACGCUUUGCUCCUAGCUAGCAAAAUGGACAGCCGAACGCACGCCAGAGUUAUGACAAGGUUUGCCAACAGCCUUCCAAUUAACGAUCCCCUGCAGACUGUGUAUCAGCUCUUGUCUGGGAGAAUGCCAGCAGCAGCCACGUGCUGCGGAGAUGAGAAAUGGGGUGACUGGCGCCCUCACCUGGCGAUGGUGCUGUCUAAUCUGACCAACAAUGUUGACGUUCCCACCAGGGCCAUGACAACAAUGGGAGAUACAUUAGCAUCCCGGGGGCUGAUGGAUGCCUCACACUUCUGCUAUUUAAUGGCACAAGUCGGCUUUGGCAUUUUCACCAAGAAAUCUACUAAGUUGGUCCUCAUUGGAUCCAACCACAGUUUAUCAUUUGCAAAGUUUUGCACUAACGAAGCCAUCCAGAGAACAGAGGCUUAUGAAUAUGCACAGGCACUUGGCACCCAGUCUUUCUCUCUCCCGAAUAUACAGGUUUACAAGUUCAUCUACGCUUGCCGUUUGGCGGAACACGGAUUAUCUGCACAAGCUUUCCAUUACUGUGAAGUCAUCUCCAAGACCAUCUUGAAGCACCCGUCUUGCUACUCCCCUGUGCUUGUCAGCCAGCUACUGGAGGUGUCCUCCCACUUGAGGUUCUUUGACCCACAGCUGAAGGAGAAGCCAGAACAGGAGUUAUUUAUCGACCCUCCUUGGCUGCAGCAUCUCCGCACCUUGGAUAAGCAAAUGAAGCAUGGUACUGUAGUUUAUGACAUGGGCAGAACCACACCUCAGCAGUUUGCCUGCAGUACACCAAGCUCGGAGAUAGACCAUGUGAGCCAAUCAGAUGGUUUUGGAAUAGCCGGGGAUAUACCAACUCAUACAGAGAAUCCAUUACUGGCCAAUCUCCUGCCCAACAUGAUGCCUCCAGUACAAGCUGUGCUAGUUCCUGCUGGUCCUGAAAAUCCGCCACCUGUAUAUCCACCCUACACAGGGAAUGAUCCCUCCUACCCAGGUACACCUCAGGGUCUAGCUCCCUCAUCUGGGCCUCCAACUCCAUCUACUGCUCCAAAUUUUGUGCCGUUUGGUGUGGAACAGGCAACUGUUUAUCCACCUGCUGCUCUACAGCCAUACCCACCUCUUCCCCAGGCAACAGAUUGUGCUCCUCCAAUGCAGAUGAAUCAAGAUCCAGGACUGCAAAGGAUUCAGCAGAAUUCCCCUACCAAAACCACCUUCGCUGAUCCUGAAGAUUUCUACGGUGUCAUGGCAAAAAUGGUUCCCGGGCAGAGAUCACGGACAGUGUCACAGUCCUCAUCACACAUGAGGCGGACACGGACAACCUCAGAGUCAUCAACCCAUUCUAUUGGGUCUGGACGUAGAAGUUCCAUGGGCAUCCAACCAUCGCCUCCUCCUGCCUCUAUCCCAGAGGCAGACAGACCAGAAGAGAAGAACAAACAUAAGUCUCAUGGUCCAUCCCAAGGGAUUGUGUGGGAUGAGAAGCAGCAGCGGUGGACUAACCUGGAUGAACCAGAAGAAGAGAGAAAACCGUUGCCUCCACCACCACCAGGGAUGCUGAAAAAACCACAGACUGCUCCAUCUGUCCCAGGUGGUCCUCUCAACCCUUCUGUCAAUGUUUUCUCCAUCAGAGCAGCAGGGGCAAGAGGUCGUUACAUUGAUGUCUUAAACCCAGGGGGUACCCGGCCCACUAACUCGGUCCCUCCGCCUGCUGAUUUGUUUGCACCUUUGGCCCCCAUGCCUAUCCCCACGAACCUGUUUGUUCCAAAUGCAGUCCCAGAAGAGGGUCAGCCUGCGGAAGCCAGUGGGGCAGAAAUGGUGCAACCUGCGGGUCAGACGGGGCUCAGUAACUUUUCCCAGGCACAGUUACCCGGUUUGCCCCCUGUGUCUGAUCUUCCAACAAAUCAGGAAGAUGGGCAGAUGGGAGAGGCUCACGUGGCCCCUGCGUCAGGCCCCCCACCUACAGGGGCUGUCCCCUUCUACAACCCCUCCCAGUUUUCACAACAGCAGCCUCCUUCUGCCCAAGCAGGUGGGCUACGACCUGGACGUCUCGGCCAGAGGAAAUAUCCUUCCUUAAAAUAAGGACUUGGCCCUGCCCUGAAGCCUCAUAAACAUUUCAAUGGACAUUUCACACCAGAGGUCAACGAACGCUUGAGGGGAAAUAUCCCUUACAGCGGAGCCCGCUUGGUUGCAUCUACUUGAAAAAAUGGAAGUGGAGUCUUUCCUUUUAACAGACAUACUGGGGAGGAGCUAGCGUCUGUGGGAUUAGUAUGGCUGCUCCUUCCUCUGGUAGCAACCUGGAAAUCAUCUUCUUCAUGCCAGCCCUGCCCCUACUAGCCCUGUAGUGUCUGAUGCCGACUGAAGACGACUAGAAUUUUGCUUUUUACUACUGGAUUCAAAUAAAAUUAUUCUGAUUUACCAGAUCCUUUAGUAAAUCUUAGAAAACCAAACCAAAAUUCUGGCCCAAGAUUGAAUACUGUGAUUUUAUCCCCCACCCCUGUAUGUAUGUAUUCUGUAUAGCCUCCCUCCCUGUAUUAUACAUUAUUUACGUUUGCUUCCCCUUUUUUUUCGGACGAGUGUGAUUUAAAUUUUAAGUGCAAUAUAAUUAACUGCUUCCUCUCAUUGGCUAAUCUUAAUCCAAUUGGAGAAGGCGGCGGCUGCAGAGGCCCCGUCACUCCACUGAUUUUACUCUUUAUAGUAGGAGUUAAACGAAACAAGCGACAGUAGCCAACUGUUUUUUUUGAGUAUUUAAAUAAAAAAUAUUGGGAAAAUCACAAUAUUGGUAACGUCACAGAACUAUAACUCUCGCCUUUCUGCAACUUCAUAAGGGUUAUUAUCCUUUGUUUUAUUUCUGCUUUUUCUCUUUUGUUUUAUUUUUCAUUUGAAUUCCUUUUUAUUUCCAUUUUUUGUGGAAUUACCAAACUCCUCUUGCUGUAGAUCUUGGGGAUAAGUUCUCCUUUCAGCCACUAGGUAAGAUGAUUCCCUACAACCCACAUCAAACUAAAGUGGGAUAGAAACCAAGAUGGAAAAUUUAGAGUGUGCCUCUUCGCACUUUUGCAAUUUAUAUAAAUGUUUAUUAUUUAUGAGAUAGUAUCAGUUUUAGGCUGCCAAUAUCCAGCAUUUCGUUCGGCAGCUCUUUUUAAGGGUCUCUGUCAGUAACCCCAGGGUAACCUCGAAAUAAACAUCUUAUAUCCCAGGAUUGCUGACCCAGUUGACUGAAAGAGAGUGGCUGAGCCAGUAGCCUGGUAUUAGCAGUCUAAAACUGCUAAUAUCUUACAAACCACUAAUAGAAAAUGGAUGUAAAAUACAGAAAUGCUCAGAGAAGCGCUGUAAAUAAGAUUCUGUGCAUUUUCUGUUUUCUCAUUUAAAAAUCAGCCACUCACAGGCCAUUAUUGUAUGACUCCAAUGUACUAGGAAGGAAUGGUUUAUGCCAAGUAGCCUAUGAAAUCUGCACACGGCGUGACCUUAACGUGUGUUGCUUUGAGGCCCAAACCUUGGCAUGUGCAGCCCUUGUGUGGUACAGUUACAGAUUUUUGAGUGGGACCUGGCACCCAUUUACCUGCUGGAUUUAAUUGGUCUUCUUAAAUGAGAGGUUAAGUGGGAGAGCAGUACAUCCCUUUAUCCUUUCCUGGGCAAUUGUACAGAGGCUGCUGGGAGUUGCAGUUCUUUCAGUGGCUUGGGCCAGUCACAACUCAUGUAAGGGCAGAAGAGUUGCUAACACAGAGCUACCAUACUGCUUUUUCCCAGUGCUCCUAGAGGGCUCCCAACUGCGGUUACCUCGGGGGAGGGCAAAUCUGUAUAACCCAUCGCUUCUACUAUGUGUUUAAUUCUAUAGGCCUUCCUGCCAAUAGGAAGCUGCUAUUUUCCUACAGAAAGACUUUUCAUUGGACAUUGUAAAAUUCUCAAAUAAAAUAUUUUGCGCUCUCGAGCACUUUCA